UUAUUCCACAGAUUGCAGCAUGAGGAUUUUGAAACAUCCGUUGUUUUGGAUUUUAAGCCUAAAUCUGAAAAAGAA
rnacentral:misc_RNA from 1 species